CGCUGCUCAGAGCAAAACCGCCGAAAGGCGGUGACGCAGAGCUAGGGGACUACGGCGACCAGCGGUCGCCAGGUCAGCCCGGCCGCCAGC
rfam:Gemmatimonadetes bacterium 13_1_40CM_70_15 13_1_40cm_scaffold_4596, whole genome shotgun sequence.